rnacentral:rRNA from 1 species
UUAGAGUUUUGAAUUCUGGCUCAGGACGAACGCUGGCGGCGUGCCUAAUACAUGCAAGUCAACUUGAAUUAUGGUAGCAAUACUGUGAGGAGAGUGGCGCACGGGUGAGUAACGCGUAGGUAGUCUGCCUUUAGGACUGACAUAACCCCGAGAAAUCGGGGAUAAUUUCAGAUAAUGCAGCGGUUUGGCAUCAAACUGCUGUUAAACCUUCGGGGCCUAGAGAUGAGCCUGCGUCCCAUUAGAUAGUUGGCGGAGUAAUAGCCCACCAAGUCUUCGAUGGGUAGCUGGUCUGAGAGGAUGAUCAGCCACACUGGAACUGGGAUACGGUCCAGACUCCUACGGGAGGCAGCAGUAAGGAAUAUUGCUCAAUGGGAGAAAUCCUGAAGCAGCAACGCCGUGUGAAGGAUGAAGGGCUUUUGCUUGUAAACUUCUGUAGAAGGGGAAAAAUCCUCCACUCUGUGGAAAUGAUGGUACCCUAGAGUAAGCCCC